UACGUAGGGGGCAAGCGUUGUCCGGAUUCAUUGGGCGUAAAGAGCGUGUAGGCGGCCAGGUAGGUCCGCUGUGAAAACUCGAGGCUCAACCUCGAGAUGUCGGCGGAAACCAUCUGGCUAGAGUCCGGAAGAGGAGAGUGGAAUUCCCGGUGUAGCGGUGGAAUGCGCAGAUAUCGGGAAGAACACCCGUGGCGAAGGCGGCUCUCUGGGACGGUACUGACGCUGAGACGCGAAAGCGUGGGGAGCGAACAGG
rnacentral:rRNA from 1 species